CGCUUUUGUGCAUGCCAACGCUCCAAUACAAUUACGCUCAUUUGCUCCUGCUGCUCCUACGUAUCCGGCACCACUCUACCGCGCAUUCGGUUUCACUUACGGACAGCCAUUGGUUUACGCUACAGCUGAAUUUAAGAACUAAAUCCUUAAUUGAUUUCCUGGAGAAUUAUUGCUUAAUUAUUGGCAGCAAUGCUGGCUGACACUUUGUAAUGAAAUAAAUCGGAAAUUCUGUAAAUAAAAUUCCUACUUACUUGUAA